rnacentral:rRNA from 1 species
GCCACUGGAAACGGUGAUUAAUACCGGAUACUCCUUCUUGUUAUAAGACAAGUCGGGAAAGUUUUUCGCUAAGGGAUCAGUCUAUGUUCCAUCAGCUUGUUGGUGAGGUAAUGGCUCACCAAGGCUAUGACGGAUAUCUGGUUUGAGAGGAUGAUCAGACACACUGGAACUGAGACACGGUCCAGACUCCUACGGGAGGCAGCAGUGAGGAAUAUUGCACAAUGGAGGAAACUCUGAUGCAGCAACGCCGCGUGGAGGAUGACGCAUUUCGGUGUGUUAACUCCUUUUAUUAGGGAAGAUAAUGACGGUACCUAAUGAAUAAGCACCGGCUAACUCCGUGCCAGCAGCCGCGGUAAUACGGAGGGUGCAAGCGUUACUCGGAAUCACUGGGCGUAAAGGGUGCGUAGGCUGGCUUUUAAGUCAGAUGUGAAAUCCAAUGGCUCAACCAUUGAACUGCAUUUGAAACUGAAAGCCUAGAGUUCAGAAGGGGCAGAUGGAAUUAGUGGUGUAGGGGUAAAAUCCGUAGAUAUCACUAGGAAUAUCAAAAGCGAAGGCGAUCUGCUGGGAUG